rnacentral:sRNA from 1 species
GUUGGGCGCAGUGGCGCACGCCUGUGAUCCCAGCGGCUGGGGAGGCUGAGGCAGGAGGAUCGUGAGUUCAAAGCCAGCCUCAACAAUUUAGCAAGGCCCUGUGCAACGCAGCGAGACCCUGUGUCUA